rnacentral:rRNA from 1 species
CUCUUCUCUUAAAUGCAAGUAUAUGUCAGGAAGGAUAAACCACUGACAAUUAACACAACUGAACCUAAAUUAGUAACCUANNCAAGAAAACCCUAGUUAAUUCNAAUGUUAAUCUAACACAAGAGCAUUUCAAGAAAGAUUAAAAGAGAAAGAAGGAACUCGGCAAAUAUUAACCCCGCCUGUUUACCAAAAACAUNCGCCUCUUGANCUANGUUAUAAGAGGUAUAGCCUGCCCAGUGACACAUNGUUUAACGGCCGCGGUAUCCUAACCGUGCAAAGGUAGCGUAAUCACUUGUUCUUUAAAUGAGGACUAGUAUGAACGGCACCACGAAGGUUAUACUGUCUCCUUUCUUUAAUCAGUANNAAACUAAUCUCCCCGUGAAGAAGCGAGGAUAAAUUUAUAAGACGAGAAGACCCUAUGGAGCUUUAAACUAACCAGCAUUUGCUUUAUNNNANNUNAAAUUUUUUAGCNAACUNNNNUUAAAGACANUCNUAGCCCUCUGACUNGGUAGUUUUCGAUUGGGGUGAUCACGGAACAAAAAAUAACCUCCGUGUCGAAAGGANNNUANUANCCUGAGCAAAANAGCGACAGCUUUCCGCACUAAAAAANUUAACGUUNCAUUGACCCAAUANUUUUGAUCAACGAACCAAGUUACCNCUAGGGAUAACAGCGCAAUCUACUUCAAGAGNUCCCUAUCGACAAGUAGGUUUACGACCUCGAUGUUGGAUCAGGGUAUCCCAGUGGUGCAGCCGCUACUAAAGNGUUCGUUUGUUCAACGAUUAAAACCCUACGUGAUCUGAGUUCNAGACCGGAGUAAUCCAGGUCGGUUUCUAUCUAUANAAGGANCUUUUUCUAGUACGAAAGGACCGAAAAAGCAUGGCCAAUAAUUUUGUUAAGCCAUNNUAUUUUNNACUUAUGUCUUCAACUCAAUAAGGAAAAAUCCUAACAACNNCAACUCAAGAAACNAGAGGUUAACGUAGCAAAACUUGGCCAUGCAG